GAACCUGCCUCAAAGAGGGGGACAACAGUUGGAAACGACUGCUAAUACCGCAUAAGCCCACGGCUCGGCAUCGAGCAGAGGGAAAAGGAGCAAUCCGCUUUGAGAUGGCCUCGCGUCCGAUUAGCUAGUUGGUGAGGUAACGGCCCACCAAGGCGACGAUCGGUAGCCGGACUGAGAGGUUGAACGGCCACAUUGGGACUGAGACACGGCCCAGACUCCUACGGGGGGCAGCAGUGGGGAAUAUUGCACAAUGGGGGAAACCCUGAUGCAGCGACGCCGCGUGGAGGAAGAAGGUCUUCGGAUUGUAAACUCCUGUUGUUGAGGAAGAUAAUGACGGUACUCAACAAGGAAGUGACGGCUAACUACGUGCCAGCAGCCGCGGUAAAACGUAGGUCACAAGCGUUGUCCGGAAUUACUGGGUGUAAAGGGAGCGCAGGCGGGAGAACAAGUUGGAAGUGAAAUCCAUGGGCUCAACCCAUGAACUGCUUUCAAAACUGUUUUUCUUGAGUAGUGCAGAGGUAGGCGGAAUUCCCGGUGUAGCGGUGGAAUGCGUAGAUAUCGGGAGGAACACCAGUGGCGAAGGCGGCCUACUGGGCACCAACUGACGCUGAGGCUCGAAAGUGUGGGUAGCAAACAGGAUUAGAUACCCUGGUAGUCCACACCGUAAACGAUGAUUACUAGGUG
rnacentral:rRNA from 1 species